rnacentral:rRNA from 1 species
UACGAAGGGGGCUAGCGUUGCUCGGAAUGACUGGGCGUAAAGGGCGCGUAGGCGGCUUGCAUAGUCGGAUGUGAAAUUCCUGGGCUUAACCUGGGGGCUGCAUACGAGACGUAUGGGCUUGAGUGCGGAAGAGGGUCGUGGAAUUCCCAGUGUAGAGGUGAAAUUCGUAGAUAUUGGGAAGAACACCGGUGGCGAAGGCGGCGACCUGGUCCGUGACUGACGCUGAGGCGCGAAAGCGCGGGGAGCAAACAGG